rnacentral:lncRNA from 1 species
CUCUUCUCGAUCUCUAAUCUUCAUUCACAUCCUAGGGUUUCUGCAACUUUAUUCGCACCUAUCCUUCUCAUCCAAUCGCAUCCAUUCGCACUUCAUUCUGCCGAUGUCUUCCAAAACCUAAUGGAUCCUUCAGUCGUUCAAUCUGUCGUUCCAUCCAAGCCUAUAAAAUCCAAUGUUCCAUCAGGUUAAUCUAUUCAGGUACGAUUCCUUAUUUUCCUCACAAAACCUAAUCCAAAAAAUUAUCCUCUGUCUGAAAUGGCGCUGCCAAAAUCUUAUCAAGAUGGAUUGAGAUUGCUUAGCGAACAAAACCUAAUUCAGAGCUAUGGAAGAUCUCUGAUUUUUCUAGCAGGUUCAUAACCUACCAGAACCACUGUGGCAUAAAUUGAAUGCAUCACAUUUCUCUACUCCACACUAUCUCAAAACUUGAAUCUCGAUUACUUGGUUCAACACUACGGCUGGUUGGGAAGUUCAUUUUGUAGCAAUUUGUGUGAUCCGUGACCCAUGUCCUUCUCUGAAUGGGAGCACUUGUAUAAGAGUUGAGGGACUACUUGAACAGCGAGAUGGAAUUGAAAUUGUUGGAUUGGAUAAAACAGCAACGCAAUUAGGUCACGUUACGCACACCAUUCCAUUUUGCUAUAGAGAUCCCUGUAUUCUAGCUAAUGGGAGCUUUUUACAUGGAUAAUAAACCUAUCCUUAAUGAGUUAAAGUUGAUAGAAAAGUUUGCAUUUUUAUGGAAAAUUGCUUUGGUUAACUUUCUUCAUAAAAUGAGCAAGGGGAAGAGUUGUUUUUUUGUCAAUAGCAAAGAGAUUGUUGAUUUAUGCUCUUGCAGCUUGGGAUUUAAGGGGAACUUGGCUAUUUACCAAAGUCUCUAUUGGAGCGAUCAAGAAUUGGAUGACUCAAAUCUAAGAACCAAGAAUCAAGAAGUUUUUUGUACUUAAAAGGACAAGAAUCUGAGUUUCAAUAAGCUAACGUCAUUUGGCAAUGAUCUAGAUGGCUUAAUUAGCCUUAAAAUUAUGUUUUUAAUAUGACAUAAAAUCCAUCAAGGUCAGGAUCAUGACCGGAGAAACAAGAACCUACAAGUGGAUGUCAAAUAAGUAA